AUGGGAGCGUCGCUGAGACGCUCGUCACGGGGGACUCCGCUGUCGAGAAGGGAAACUCGCGGCUUGAGUCACCGGGCGGGCUCCCACCCGAAAGGAGGAGAUGGCUCGGGAGGAAAACGCCACGAAAACGCCACGCUUCAGCCCGGUGCUUUUCAGCCCGUGAGCAGCCAUCGCCAGCAUGAGCCGGCUGCGCCGGGGUUGGCACCCGCAGCCUUAUGCAAGCGUGCGAAGCCGGCUGUGAGGCAGCCGCGCCGUGGCCUGUGUGUUAAAUACAGCAAAACAACCCGGCUCGGCUCUGGCAGGAGAGCGUCUCCCGCUGCUCCACAGCCUGCUGGCUCCGCUCAGCAGUGCCUGGCUUACCGGGGCCCCGCGCCUCUCCGCGUUCCUGGAAAGCAGGAGGAGCUCGUCGUGCUGGGUCACCCGGGGACCACAGCAGUACCCUGCGAAGCCUCCUCGGGGAAGCGCGGACCUGGCUCUCCCCUUGCCCGUCCAGUAGAGCCGCAUAGUCGAGAACCAGUCGGGGCUGGACGUCGGCGUUUACGCUACCCGCAGCGUCCCGUCGAGUUGCACGACUGCCUUCCUCACAGCCAGCGCCACGCACGUAGGGCCGGGGGAGCUGGUGGGAGCUGCCCGGUGCUGUGCUGGAGCCACAACCACCAGAACCCCUCGCUGGAGCAGGGUCCCCACGCCCACCAGCCGUGCUGCCAGCAGAACGGGCAUGGAGCUCUGCCCGGCGAGGCCGUUGGCUGCUCUGGUCUUCACCUCCCCCCAAAUCCGGUCUUGGAUGAAUACACAGCACCAAAUUUCACCUCCUCCUCCUGGAGAGCUGGGCUUCCUGCUCCUUUUUGGGGAAGAUGGUGGUGGGGGAAUUGGCAACUGCUGCUCCCGGAGGGAGCCACGCUUCCUCCUGGAGGUAAUUGUCACUUGGAGGCUCUUAUCCUGGGGUGGCAGCGGCUGAGCCUGGCUGUCCAGGCCCUGCCACGGGCAAGGCGGGCUGCAGCGCCACGGCUCUCCACCUCCCAGCCACCCAAAAGCCUCCUGCCCUCAGGCACAGCCUGCUUUACCCCUGCCUGCAGCAUCUCCUUGUGCUGUGGCUGGGUGAGCGCUGGCCUCCUCGCACCUUGCCUCGGGGAGUUAAACGCCCACGUCGGCCUGCAGCUGAGUCUCUGCUCUCCCUUGUGGAUGCUCUUCACCAGGCAGGGAGGCUCCACCUCCCCCAUCCUUCUCUUUCUUGUCUCUCUCCUCCCGGCUCCACUGGACUCCCCCCUGCACCACUCACCUCCGGUGGGGCUGAUUCCCCCUUUCCCCCCCCGUGGCUUCCCCCGGCCCCGUUUCCCCCACGUGCCCUCGCUGGCUGGCCACAGCCGCCCUCCGUGCAGCCACGCGGUGUUUGCACAAACGUCUGCAUGGCACGGGGCGAUGGGAGCGCGUCCCAGAGCAGCCAGCUCGGCUGGCAGGGGCUCCCCAGCGCUCUCGGUGCUGCUGCAAGAGCCCAAUUAG
ensembl:lncRNA